CUUCUUUAAAGGUUAUGGCUUUCUUUUCAAUUUUCCUUUGUAUUGGGCAUCUUCAUCCUCUACUAAUGAACUCCCAAGUUCUAUGAUGUGAUUGGGGGAAAUACAUCUUCUAAAUUAGAUUACAAUCUUGUCAUGUGUUAGUUAGACCAUUUCCAUGUGUUACAAGGGCAAAAGGGAAAAAAAACAACACCUAGUGGCUGACCAUCUGGUGAUUAGCCUCUCCAAAUUUAGCUGGGUUGAUCUGUUGCUGGGACUGUACUCAAAGUAUUGCCAGCUUGGUAGGACCUGCCAGAACCUAUAUUCCAUUGGCAUAUCUUUCAAGAUCCCAGGGUCACCUGCAGGCCACAAGGAGGGAUUAGAAAAACAAGGGAGAAGGGCAUGUGAAUAAUUAGGGGAAAAAGGAGACCAUGUCCAUAGAGCAAGAUACUUUAUGCCUAAGUGGGUAAAAUGGGAAAAUAUUUUCCCUUAAUAAAAUGAUUUCAUCUCUAUAGGAACAUUGUCAGCAUCUAUCUUAUUCUACCAAUGGUAAAGCCCAUUUCUGAGCUGGAAUUUAUAGUCGAUCUCCUUUUAGAAAAGAUGAAUCCAAAGCUGUUCCAUAAAGUCCUACUCCUGCUAACUCCUUGGUGAGUGCUGCAAAGAGUGACUCCAGCCAGAGACUGAAGGGCAGUUGGUCAGAUAUUCUUAGAACAUCUUUCAGCAAUGGUCUGGUGCCCCUCUAAUGCCCAAGUACCUGCUGGGCUUUGACCCACUCUCUCAGAAGUUGCUCCUCAGAAGCUGGUGUAUCACCCCUGAAGGUUCUUGGAGGUGAGUGUGAUGGAGCAGAAAGGAUGCCAGCCCUGGAGUCAGAAAUAUUUUCAAGUCUUUGCCUGGCCCCUUAUUAGCUCUAUGACUCCAGGGGAUGUUGACUUCGAAAUAACACAGAACUACCAAAAUGCCAGCCCCGAUGCCUACUCCGCCCAGGGAGAAUACCCUGCGAGAAAAACGGAACUUGCUGGGUCUCUUAUACCCUCUGGAGAAUUUGCUACGACAAGGAAAUGGAGAAAUUAAAAAAUUAAAUGACUCACCCUUGGUCAUGCUGAGUGUUUUUUCUCAUGCCAGGAUUUGAAUCCAGAUUACCCCCCUUCCUGGUACAGAACUCUUCCUACUACACCAUCCUACUCCCAUUCAUUCAAGUCCACAUUUAAAGCAGAGGAAAUCAACAUCUUCUUGACUCCUUUGCCUGCAAUCCUCUG
rnacentral:lncRNA from 1 species